AUUGAACGCUGGCGGCAGGCCUAACACAUGCAAGUCGAGCGGAGCGGCGGACGGGUGAGUAAUGCCUAGGUAUCUGCCUGGUCGUGGGGGAUAACGUCAGGAAACGGGCGCUAAUACCGCAUCCUAUCAGCUGAGUCUAGGUCGGAUUUGCUAGUUGGUGGGGUAAAGGCCUACCAAGGCGACGAUCCGUAACUGGUCUGUGAGGAUGAUCAGUCACACUGGAACUGGGGAACGGUCCAGGCUCCUACGGGGGGGAGCAGUGGGGAAUAUUGGAAAAUGGGCGGAAGCCUGAUCCAGCCAUGCCGGGUGUGUGAAGGAGGUCUUCGGAUUGGAAAGCACUUUAAGUUGGGAGGCGUUACCAACAGGAUAAGGACCGGCUAACUUCGUGCCAGCAGCCGCGGUAAUACC
rnacentral:rRNA from 1 species